UCUCCGUUGGUGAACCAGCGGAGGGAUCAUUACAGGACUCGCAAGACUCCUUCACCCUGUGAAUCUCACUACAAGCACGUUGCUUCGGCGGGUGUCCCGGCGGGGGUUUUCCCUCGCCGGGGCGCACAGCCCGCCGGCAGCCUACUAUACUCUGUCUCUUUGCGUUGGCAUCUCGAGAAAAAACAAACAAGUUAAAACUUUCAACAACGGAUCUCUUGGUUCUG
rnacentral:misc_RNA from 1 species